rnacentral:tRNA from 1 species
AUUUAUAUAGUUUAAUUAAAACAUUACACUUUCAUUGUAAAAUUAGAAUAUAUCUUAUAAAUA